UCCCACGUGUCUUCCUUCGAGAAAGGGCCGAUGGGUUUUGCGGAGAACCAUUCUGAAAAUGCUAUUGUACCGAUGCUUGGGACAAGUUUUGACUCGCUGGGAGAGACGUAUGAUUUCUACAACCUCCUUGGAGACAGGAUCUGCAAAUAAGAUAUGGGAAGAGGAGGUUGAAUGUGGAGAGAAUGAAAUGUGUACAAAAUUUGUGUGUGGACGUUCUGUAAGUCAGACUAUAUAUACAUCUUUUACUGUUCAAUGGUUAAUUUUUUAGUACGCUUAUCUCAUCACAACAACAUGACCACAUUUCAGGGUUCGUGUUGAGACAGUUUGAACAUGAGGUCUUGUUGGUAUGAGUGCCCUCGCGCUGGUGUUUUCGUUGGUGGUGAGAUAGUUUGAAAGCUUUGAGUGGGUGUUUUCUGAUUUAUAAUAUGAUGGGUGGCACGGUACCCAGGACUAAAGCACCAGGUAAUGCAUAGGUUGAUUGGUAAUGUUUUGUAUUGAUUUCUUAAUAGGUGGUGAUUUGUAGGAAGCGGUUGUUCUGGUCACGAGCACAGGUGAGCGUGGUAUUUGGGCGGCUCGAUAUGUCAUGGGGGUGCGUUGCAUUGAAUUCCUUUGCCAUCUAGUGUCUUUGUUGUUUUAUCUUCUUUCUUUCAUCACCCAAGUAAUUUUCUUUUGUGCUCAAGCAUUCCCUGUUUUCGGAGGCUAAACAUGUUGUGGCUUAAUGAUUACGCCGCUGAAAUCCUUCGAGAACAUGCUCUAACUAUCACUUGUCAUUCAUGCUUGUUAAUUUAGAUUUUCACUAUUAAUCGUAGCUCUUGAUAUGUAGAUGUAAGCUCGCAUUGUUUAAUCUCCCCUCGUUUGUUGAGUUCUGUUAUAUGUUUAAAUUGCAGGAAACAUGUUGGAAGGUGACAAGAAUAAAAGCAAUGAGCCACUUCUCACCUGAUGUGUUUAGUCUUUCGUUUUGGUAUUUUGGAACUUCUCGGAAUCAGGCUCUCCUCAGCUCAUGAUUUCAGGCUUUCAUUUUGUGAUUUUAUGACUCAUCGGUGUUCUUAAUUACUACCUCAUAAGUUCAAUUGGCUAAUACGGUUGGCAUGAACAUAGAUUGUUGCUAAAUUUCAGAGAUGCACUGUCAGUUCAGCUUUUUGUGAUUGCGGAACUGGUCGAAAUAGUUUUAUUUAGCUAGUUUUAAAAAAAGUUUUAUUUAGCUCAUAGUUUUUCUACAGAGAAAUGACCAUGUUUAUGACCAAGAAAUGGUCGAUUCAACAUUUUGGAUAUUGCAGUUCUUUUUUUUGGAUAUUUUCUUCUGCAGUUUACCUAUGAUCUUUUUCUGCCAAAUUGUAUUCAGUUUUCCUCUCCCAGCGGCAAGUUCAGCAGUUACCCCUCAUAUCCAAACAGGGAAUGUAAAAUGUUUACCAGUGUAUGAUUUUACAACAGUAUCUAUUCGGGCCAAGGAAAU
rnacentral:lncRNA from 1 species